rnacentral:rRNA from 1 species
UACGUAGGGCGCAAGCGUUAAUCGGAAUUACUGGGCGUAAAGCGUGCGCAGGCGGUUCGCUAAGACAGAUGUGAAAUCCCCGGGCUUAACCUGGGAACUGCAUUUGUGACUGGCGGGCUAGAGUAUGGCAGAGGGGGGUAGAAUUCCACGUGUAGCAGUGAAAUGCGUAGAGAUGUGGAGGAAUACCGAUGGCGAAGGCAGCCCCCUGGGCCAAUACUGACGCUCAUGCACGAAAGCGUGGGGAGCAAACAGG